rnacentral:lncRNA from 1 species
AAUUCUCUCAAGUUAAUCCAAGUGUUUUGGUGAUUGUGAUUCCAUUUGAGGCUUCCACACUAUUGGGGCUAGGCACUCAAGCUUCAUGAAGACUUUCUACAUCAAAAAGGUAUGUAUUCUAUCUUGUUACAUUCAUUGUUUUGUAUGCUAGAUUAGGAUAAUACCUUGGAAGUUCUUAUUUGCAUGUAUAAUAGAGAAAACAUAGAUCCAAGGUAUUUAGGGUUGCAUGUACACUUAGGAGUGUUAGAAUGCUCAAAACCCAACAGUGGUAUCAGAGCCUAGGCUUGUUUUCUUGUUAUACCUGCAAUAGAAGCUGAAAAAACGAAUUUGGUGCUGUCUGGCCAUCAGACUCGGCGAGUCCAUCAGGAGACUCGACGAGUCCAUGCCUAAAAAGUGAUGAAUUCGAUCCAACUCGCCGAGUUUGUUCAUGCACUCGACGAGUUGGACCCCCAGACAGCAUAUUUUCGAGUUUUUUGGCUAGAAAUGGACUAGGAACAUUACCCUAAGUUGUUUUUGAACUUAUAAACUUGUUUUUGAUGUGGUAAUGUUCAUGCUAAUCCAUUUUCAAAGAUAAUUGUCAAUAGAUUCAUGUUUUGUAUUAGUUUAAGGUUUAGACUAAUUACAUGAAAAAGUUUGAUUUGAAUUAUCUUGUUCUUAUGAGUUGCUUAGAUUAAUAGAAAAGUUAAUUGAAAUAGUUGUUUUCAAUCCAUUUUAAUCUAAGAGUUGAGUAUAAAAUGUGUUUGUGUAACUUGUCCUCAAGUUACAUGAAGAGUCACAUUAAAGACUCAUAAAACUCAUAAUAGUUGGCAAUGGUUACAAAAUGAAGAGUCUUGUGUCAUUGAAUAAUUUUUUUUGACUCCAUAACUUGUCCUCAAGUUAUGGAAGUUCAAGAGUCACUUCAUUAAAGAAAAAUAUGUAACCAUAAUUAAAUCCAUAAGUUAUAAAAUAAAGAAAAAGUUAGUUCUUUUAUUAGUUUAAAGUCUUCCAUAACUUGUCCUCAAGUUAUGGAACUUGAAGAGUUUUUGGAUUAAAACUACUUUAAACACAUAAGUUAUGGAAUUAAUUAGUUUUGAAUAGUUUCAAAACUUGCCCUCAAGUUUUGGAAUUUGAAAAGUUUUCACUUAUGAAUACUUUAAUUCCAAGUUAGCCCUUAGAAUUUUAAAAGUUAAAAUUCAACCCUUAUACUUUAUAAUAUUAUAAGUUAAUAAUAUAUAUAUGUAUAAGAGUAAAGUCAGUCUUACCGCUAGUACGCCUCAUUCACGAAGCCGGUCUAUAAGGUGGGUAUAAGGUUGUUGCCUAUAAAAUGGCAACUUAAUGGGUGUCCACUCUCACCCACCGCUUGCUUGACUGGUGGAGGGUCGUUAGCCGAACGGGUUUGACAGGACUAGAAUUCUCCCUUCAUUAAAAGUAUUAAUGAUAAUACUAAGUAACUAAACUCUUAAUAAUACCCAAUCUUAGUUACUUAGGAAAAAUGUGAAUAAGGUGCUAAUCCAUGAAAUUACACUUUACACUUUGUCUAAGUCGUUAGUGGAGCGUGUGUGGUUAACCGGCACACUAACUUGGACUUAACAAGGUAGGUAAAGGGUGACUUAAUAUUUAUCAUAGUAUCGAUGGAGCGUGUGUGGUUAACCGGCACAUCGAUUGAGGGGUAAUUUAUUAAGGGUACCAAGUGAUUUGCAUGGUUACUUCACACCUUGUUUUGUGAUCCUCGGCAUCCCAGUCACAAAACCUGAAGGGCACACUCGAGAUUGAAACAUGCCUUUGAAAAGUUCAAUGAAUCUCAAAGAUCUAGGAGUUUCAAAACCAAUUAAAACCUAAUAAUACAUUUCGUUUAUCUUGGUGGAAAUUGGUGAAUCGUCAUUCACCUACCUUCAAAUAUUUUAUAGCUUGGAUUACGGCAUACCUCUUCUAAGUUAUAAAAUAGUUUGUUGGGUCCUAGCCUUAAUAUUUCAUAUUGGGUGUCAUAUUAAGGACUUUAAAUCAACUAUCUUGAAUAUCUCCCAAAAGAUGUCUGGUUUAGACACCUAUGAUCUUCCCAAAUCUCUUGAAACAAGGUUUCCUAAUGAAGAUGAUGUCCCAUGGAUAUCAUACUUCUUCACCUCUUCAAAUUAUUCUCCCUAACCCACAAGUUCUUGAAAAGUUUAAGGUCACUCAGGCCCUAUUGGCAAGGCAAGGUCUAGGUGUGGUCACAUCUUGGAGAUGUAGUCACAUAUUGACAAGCCGGGAGAGUUGGGUGUCAAAGUCUUGAGAAAGUUGGUGGUUCAAUCACUUUCUAAGUCACAUAGUGAGUUCCUUUGGGACACCUAUGAAACAGACUAUGACAAGACCCUUAAUGAUCUUAUCUAUUUGCUAAGAUCAACUUCCUAAAACUUUAUGGACAUUGACAAUGAUGACAUUGGAUAUCCAGUAAAGCAUUCUCUUCCCAAUGGAAAGGGAUCGGCCAUAGUCAACUCGGUUGACCAAAUGGUAAAGAGAAAAGCUAAGUCUGUGAUAGUCCUGUGUACCAUUAUCAAAGGGUCCAUAUGUUUAUAUUGCCAAAGGAAGGGGCAUUGGUUGCGAAGCUGCCAAAUUUACCUAAGGAUGUUAAAGUCAAUAAGUUUGACUCUACUUCAGGUAAAGUCCACUAUCUAACUCUGUUAAGUUUCUAUUCUGAGAUUCUUGAUACAUGAUGUGACUGGGUCACAUGGUGAUGUUUUAAGAAUCAAAGAAAAGUGAAGAAACUUAAAGAAAGAAUAUGCUGAAUCUGAUGGCGUAGAUGGAUUUCUAUCGCAUAGUUUGAAGAUCGGAUUCUUGAGCUACUUCUUAGGAGUUAUGAGAUAUUGCUUAGGAAUAGAUAACAACAAGUUUUCAUAUGGAUUGUAAGGAUAAGUUUUUCCGCAAAGUUUUAAAAUAAAAGAAAAUUUUUUUGAUUUUAUUUAUUUUAAAAUAUCCUUACAAUGGCAUUUGAGGAAAAAUUGUUGCUUAUAUGAUUCCAUUAAGAGCAAGAGUGGAAAUAUGAAAUUGAUUCUUUCAUUUGUGGUAAUGUCUAAAUUUACCAAAUAAGGAAAGAUUCUCAUCACCCAAGUUUCAAUUGGACCGGAACUUGGAAUCAUGCAAGUUGUAUAGCAUGAUGAAUGAGAACUUUCAAGUUUUGGAAAAUUAAGACUAAUUACUUGUUCACAUGGAUGUGUGAGUCAAGUAAAGGACUUAGGGAUCGAGUACACAUUCUUGUGCACUGAUUAAGUCCACCACUAAAGAUCGAUAAGAAGAAUCAAAUAAGGCAGAAGGAUAAAAGUUUCUCAAAUCUGAAAAGAUGGGAGAGUACUUUAGUAUCAGUUUUGUGAUCAUCUUAAUGAUUAAGAAACCAUAUCAAAAUUAGUUCUCUAAGGAAAUCUUAGUGCAUUCUUAUGACUAAGAAGAGGAACUUGAAUUGUUGAAAUGGUUAAAUCAAGAAGAUGAGUCAUACUUCGUUCCAAUACAAGUCUUAGAGUCAUACUCCAAGAUUGUCAUUUGAGUGACAUGUCUUAAAGAAGGUUUAAAACACUUGUCAAAUGUAAGAGUAAAAGUUUUCUACUCUUGUACAUUUGAAAUUGGUAAGUUGUGAUGUUUUGGAUAAAACAAAGACCAACUUAGGCCAAUUGGGUAAAGUGUUUUUCUUGAUUAGAAUCCGCACUAUCUCUUGGAUGUUUGACAAGGGAGUCUUAUAUGUCAAGAGGACAGUGGGAGUCUUAAAGGUCUUGAAAGUCUCAAGAAAUAAUCAAGAAUAAAACCUAAAGUUCUUCACUAGCACACGACUUGAGGUUUAUAACCUAUCGUGUUGACAUAUCUGUGCCCAUUCCAGUUAAAGUUGGCUUUGCAUAUGAGUUCUUAGAGUUCUCAGUUUGUUGCAUAACAACUUGGAAGCAAUGGCAGGCCCUUGAGCUGCCAGGUGGCAAGAAGUUAAGAUUGAGUUCAAUCCAUAUGGUUUUGGAUUUGUCAUUAUCUUUGUCUUGUGAUUAUGGUUUGACAAAUUCAUAUGGGUAGGAACUCAUACACCAUAUAAAUCUAAGUGUCAUAAGGUUUCUCUCCGAUUCAUGAAAAUGAUGGUGAGGAAACGCUUUCACUAAGUAGAUUUUACGAAGAUAUCAAUUGUGUUAUUUGCAUUUUCAAAAGUCGUUAGUGGAGCGCGUGUGGUUAACCGGCACACUAACAUGGACUUGUGAGAAAUGGCAAAUGCCUAAGCAAUUGAGACCAUGAUUACGGUAUCCCUUUUCAUGGUUCUUGAAAUUGCUUAGACACACAGGUGAGCUAUCUACGGAAAGGGUGUAUGAAUCUAAAUUUCAGACUGUCCAGCUGAUUUCUGAGUACAUGUCAAAGCUAGUGGGAGCAUAAGUGUUAUGCUAAUAAUCAUCAUGUUAGUGGGAGCAUGAUAAUUAUGAUAAGUAUUGCAAGUUAGCAAUGUUAAUUAUAGAAAACAAAAGUUUCAAUUGGGAAAAAGUUGUUUUGCUAUAAUUAAGGGAGAGGAAAUUAUGCUUCAUCUCAAAUCUAUAAGCUUAGAUCGUGAGGUUUUAAUCAUUUAGUCAAGGAUAUAUAUGAAUUUCAUGUUGGAAUGGCUCAACAUAAGGAAAUUCUGUAUAUGGGUCCAUUAUUUGCGUUCUAAAAUUCGAUUAUGAUUACGGCAUCCCUUUUCAUAAUCUGAAUUAUGAGAACUUGGCAAAUUGAAAUGGAAAUAUUAUAGCAAAAGACUGGUUUAGUCUUUAUGUAAGACAUCAUGAAUCGUGUCCCAUAUGCUUCGGAUAUAGGAUCGAUUACAUGUGCUAUAUUCAUCCGUUCUAAAAUUUUCCAAAUGCCUGGGGCAUUAAGAAGGGAAAAGGUUUAGAACUGGAUAUGACUAAAAGGAUUAAACAAUUGUCGAGGACAAUCUAAGGUUUACCAAAGAUUGGUUACUCAAGGACAAUUGGAAGUAUAGUGAUAAUUCUGGAAGGACCAUAUUGACAUAAUCUGUAAGGAGGCAACUCUUGUUCAGAAGUGAUAGUCAAAAUGGAAUCUGGAAAUGUUUCAAAGUUAGAAUUUUCAAUCUGUGUAAGAUUAAGGAAACUUAAUGCAAGAAGGAUAUUUCCAAGGAGUUGAUCUCCUUUGGAAUACUCUGUAAUGAUUGUUGCCAAGUCUUUGUGACUUUGUGCAUAAUCAUUACAAGAGGAUCAAUGCAUAUAAGUUUAGAAUCUAACAGAUUUCAGUAAAUGGCAUGAAUUUGGAAUUCUUGCAUUUGCAGUAAGGAUUUGGGAGUGUGAAAAGAGAAUCAUUGAAGUUAUGUUCAAUUGAUCUAGUUCACAAAGUAAAGAUCAUAGACAAACAUAGUAUGCAUACUUGGUGUGUGGCAUGACUAGUGUUUAAGAAAACAUAGUGUACAUGCUUGGAGCAUGGGACAACUAUUGUUUUAAAUUCAAGAAUAAAGUUGAUAGCUGAAACAGUAUACAAUGAAUAAUGUGUAAUCAUAUGGUGAUAAAUAAAAGGUGUUUUAUUUAUGUUCAAAGGGUUGAUACCAUAUUGGAUUCAAUUAUUAUUGUGUUUCAUUUUGCAUGUUUUGACUUCCCGAAUAAACUGGGUUAUUCUUCCGGAAUGACUAAGUUAUUCAAACCAUCCACAGUCGGUCAUAUGUUGGAAGUAGAUAUGAAUUAAGACUGUCAUGGGUUGGCUUGUAGAGGUCUAAGGUGUUGGACAAAGGGCUACAACACUCAUGAGUGCUCAUAAGUUCUGAGUAUUGGAUUCAACCCGCGCUCAUUGGAAUCACUUCAUGGAUUUUAUCACGAGUGAUCAUGAGACGAUAAUAUCUUAUAUUCUUCAAACCUAGAGAUAUGAGUUGUUACUAUGAGUUGAUAGUACAUUGAUUGCACGAAAACGCAUUUGGUAACUCGGUGCUAUAAAACGUGCCUUUGUGUAUGAUUCAACAAGUAGUAGAACAAGCCAUAUGAGUCGAAGUUUAUCCAUUCCUUUUACCUUCGGGAUAAAAGCGAUAUCUGUGGGCCCCUCGAUGAUUUGAUGAUGACAAAUGGAAGUGCUCGGCCGGGCCAGGACUGAUUUGAUUUGUUCAAUUAGUCAGUCGUCAUAAAUCGGAAAUCGGGAAACAACAAAUGGACAGAGAGAAUGAUUAUAAUCCAUGUCUCAGUCCAUAUGAUAUCUAGAAUGGAGGAAUAUAUGAUCCCUUAUCUAAUGGACAAGUCAUUGACAAAGGUCAGAGUUCAUCUACAAGGUCAGAGUUCGACAGAAGCUUUUGAGAGCUACGAUUGCCAGUUGGUUCCUGAAGUCAUACGCAAUAAUAGUUUUAGACUUAUCCAAGUGGGAGACUGUUGGAUUAAUGUCUAAGUCCAUAACUAUAAUUGGUAAGACUUGACCCGACCCGGCAUGGUCCAUUUGGGUUGCAUGGCAUCAUGCACUUGGAUAGACUAAAUGAGAGAAAUAAGACACUCAUAGUUAUUAAUAUAUUAUAAGUUCUAGUAUAUUAAUAAUAAGAAUAAUGAGAUUAUUUAAUUAGUAUUGAUCAAGAAUUAAUCUAGGAUUAAUUAAGUGAUCAAAAGAAGACUAAUUAAAUAUAUGGGUUGAUUGUGUAAAUCAUCCAUACUUGUAUAGUGGGCUAAGCUCCAUGGAUAAUCAAGUUGGGCUAAAACCCAUAGGAUGGUCCAUGGAUGCUCCAUGGUGUAUUUGAACCCAUGGAUCCAAGGAAAUGGAAAGUCAUGACAAUUAGGAUUUACCCUAAUUGUAACACUAUAUAAAGAUCACAUUCUUGGGAAAAAUCGGCCACUAGAGUGUGAAGUAAAAGGGCUAGCCGAUUUCAUGAGUUGUAGAAUUCUCUCAAGUUAAUCCAAGUGUUUUGGUGAUUGUGAUUCCAUUUGAGGCUUCCACACUAUUGGGGCUAGGCACUCAAGCUUCAUGAAGACGUUCUACAUCAAAAAGGUAUGUAUUCUAUCUUGUUACAUUCAUUGUUUUGUAUGCUAGAUUAGGAUAAUACCUUGGAAGUUCUUAUUUGCAUGUAUAAUAGAGAAAACAUAGAUCCAAGGUAUUUAGGGUUGCAUGUACACUUAGGAGUGUUAGAAUGCUCAAAACCCA